AGUGAACGCUGGCGACGUGCUUAACACAUGCAAGUCGAACGAGAACGGAAUAUAGCUUGCUAUAUUUGUCAGCUAAGUGGCGCACGGGUGAGUAAUGUAUAGAUAACCUGCCCUUAAGAAAGGAAUAACAGUUGGAAACGACUGCUAAUGCCCUAUAUGCCUUUAAUACAUAAGUAUGCAAGGGAAACGCUUUAGUGCUUAAGGAUGGGUCUGUAUGGUAUCAGCUUGUUGGUGAGGUAAUGGCUCACCAAGGCUAUGACGCCUAACUGGUUUGAGAGGAUGAUCAGUCACACUGGAACUGAGACACGGUCCAGACUCCUACGGGAGGCAGCAGUGGGGAAUAUUGCACAAUGGACGAAAGUCUGAUGCAGCAACGCCGCGUGGAGGAUGACACAUUUCGGUGCGUAAACUCCUUUUAUAUAGGAAGAUAAUGACGGUACUAUAUGAAUAAGCACCGGCUAACUCCGUGCCAGCCGCCGCAGUAAGAC
rnacentral:rRNA from 1 species